UCCUACGGGCGGCAGCAGUGGGGAAUAUUGCACAAUGGGCGGAAGCCUGAUGCAGCAACGCCGCGUGCGGGAUGACGGCCUUCGGGUUGUAAACCGCUUUCGCCUGUGACGAAGCGUGAGUGACGGUAAUGGGUAAAGAAGCACCGGCUAACUACGUGCCAGCAGCCGCGGUGAUACGUAGGGUGCGAGCGUUGUCCGGAUUUAUUGGGCGUAAAGGGCUCGUAGGUGGUUGAUCGCGUCGGAAGUGUAAUCUUGGGGCUUAACCCUGAGCGUGCUUUCGAUACGGGUUGACUUGAGGAAGGUAGGGGAGAAUGGAAUUCCUGGUGGAGCGGUGGAAUGCGCAGAUAUCAGGAGGAACACCAGUGGCGAAGGCGGUUCUCUGGGCCUUUCCUGACGCUGAGGAGCGAAAGCGUGGGGAGCGAACAGGCUUAGAUACCCUGGUAGUCCACGCUGUAAACGGUGGGUACUAGGUGUGGGGUCCAUUCCACGGGUUCCGUGCCGUA
rnacentral:rRNA from 1 species